CUACGGGAUGCAGCAGUGGGGAAUAUUGCACAAUGGGCGCAAGCCUGAUGCAGCAACGCCGCGUGAGGGAUGAAGGCCUUCGGGUUGUAAACCUCUUUUAGCAGGGAAGAAGCGAAAGUGACGGUACCUGCAGAAAAAGCACCGGCUAACUACGUGCCAGCAGCCGCGGUAAUACGUAGGGUGCAAGCGUUGUCCGGAAUUAUUGGGCGUAAAGAGCUCGUAGGCGGUUUGUCACGUCUGCUGUGAAGAUCCAAGGCUCAACCUUGGACUUGCAGUGGGUACGGGCAGGCUAGAGUGCGGUAGGGGAGAUGGGAAUUCCUGGUGUAGCGGUGGAAUGCGCAGAUAUCAGGAGGAACACCAAUGGCGAAGGCACAUCUCUGGGCCGUAACUGACGCUGAGGAGCGAAAGCGUGGGGAGCGAACAGGAUUAGAUACCCGAGUAGUC
rnacentral:rRNA from 1 species